CUCGGUUUAAAAGGCUUGGGUUUUUUGUUCAGCAAGCUGGCCAUCCUGCCGCUGAAUCUCCUUCCCUUCUGUGAGGUUUUAGAGCGCAGCCCAGUCAUUAGACUCCCUCUGUCUACUCAGUCCACACACAUCUUCAUCGUUUGCAAGGUCUUACGGCUGUUAAAGAAUCUUUAUGAACCCGAAGAUGAUUUCUCGUGAAGUUGAAUGCAAAUGUACUGUCAUUCAUAGUGUUUAUAUUAAAAAAAAAAAAAUACCAGGAAUCUUCACUUUUGCUACCUUGAUAUAGCAUUGGGCUAUCAUGUUAACAUUGAAAUACAUCAAUUUAUUAAAAAAUACUUUUCUAAGAACUGUUUUCUAGUGCUUUCUGACCCCCAGGACACUACAACGGUUACAUGUUUGUGUUGGUGGGGGAAGAGAGGGUGGGAGGUUAUUUUUGUUAGUUUUGUUCAAUAUUUUUUUUCAACUUUUAAAGGUGACACUCCAUUUACAGUUAUUACAAAAUAUUGGCUCUAUUCCCUCUGUUGUACAGUACCUCCUUGUAGUCUGACACCUAGUAGAGAGGUUAUUUUUUUAGGGCCUCACCCUCGACAUAUGGAAGUUCCAAGAUUAGGGGUCGAAUCAGAGCUGUAGCCACCAGCCUAGACCACAGCAACGCCAGAGCCAAGCGGCACUUGCAACCCACACCACAGCUCACAGCAACGCCGGAUCCUUAACCCACUGAGCGAGGCCAGGGAUCCAACCUACAUGCUCAUGGAUACCAGUCGGGUUCAUUAUUGCUGAGCCACAACGGGAACUCCAAUAGGGCGGUUACUUUUAAAGCCCGGGGAUCCCAUCUGCUCUGCAAUGACAGCCCUUCUCCAUGAGGUAUUUAUUUCUCUUUUAUUUGCAAGUACAGCUACUCCUGUGUAUUCCUCUCGAGCACAAGGCCGUGGACCAGUGUCUUCACUGACAAAGAGCAUAACCGAGACAACCCCGGCUUCUGGGGAAAGAGACAAGGCCCCUCCCGAGGAGGGCGGGGAGCGGCCUGCAGGCCCCUCAGUCUGUUCACCUCCUCUCCUGGACGGCCCUUCAGGCCUUCUCGUCACACCGCCCACAUGUUCCCCACACGUGUCACCGCUGAGAACCUCACUUUGCGUCUCAUUGAAAACAGGUGGAGUUCCUGUCCUGGCACAGCGGAAACGAAUGACUAGCAUCCAUGAGGACGCUGGUUCGAUCCCUGGUCUUGCUCAGUGGGUUAAGGAUCUGUCAUUGCCGUGAGCUGUGGUGUGAGUCGCAGGGGCCGCUCGGAUCCCACGUGGCUUUUGCUGUGGCUGUGGUGUAGGCUGGCAGCUGCAGCUCCAAUUCAACCCUUAGCCUGAUAACUUCCAUAUGCUGCCCUAAAAAACAAAUUUUUUAAAAAAGAGGCAAUUUAGGCGGUUGAGCUCUGUAUUGGGGGAAAAAAUACCCCAUUUUCCCAGCUCUGUGUUUCUCCUUACUGUCACUCAGAACACUUCCCUUAUGACACUUCUGUCACCAAAUCUGUGGGGCUUUUCCACAUGCCAAGCAAUUCUCCAUGACACCAGCUGGUGGGCCUACAACUGAAUUCUGACACCGUCUACCUGGAGAUGCCUCAGGUCCCACAGGCUGAGGGCUCAGUCUCACCAGACUGCCCCCAACUUGACAUGCCAAUCGCUGGUCACCACAGGUCCCCAAGUAAUCGGCAACUUCUGUCCAAGUGGGUACAGAUCUAGGGUUCCCACACCCCACUCCUGGAGUUUGAUUGAUUUGCUACAGUGGCUCAUAAAACUCAGGGAAACACUUCCAUUUACCAGUUUAUGAAAGGAUAUGACUUCUUUUUUUUUUUUUUUUU
ensembl:lncRNA